rnacentral:lncRNA from 1 species
CUCCGCAGUGUGCCAGCAUUUUGAGAGGCUCAGAGCUGUGCCAGCAGUUUGAGGCUCAGAGCGCAGGAGAGGUGAAGUGACUUUUGUUCUUCCCUCUGUAACUAAAGCUGGCCACACCCUCUGGCAUCAGACUGAGUAGGAAAAAGGCCUCAGGGUGUCCUGUGCUGGGGACACCAGGUGACUGUACAGAGUCCAUGCCAGGCAGGAGAUUCCAGCAGGUGCAGGGCUGACGAAAUGCCGACUUGCUGAAAUGCGCAAGCGUGGAGGGUUUUCCUGCCUGGGCGGAGCCUCCAGGUCACUGAGCUGGAGGGCCUUUAGGCGAAAGGCAUCUGCCUUUGGGGACUUGUAUGAAUCUUAAGGUCAGUGUGGGCAUGUGAAUCGUCACC